rnacentral:lncRNA from 1 species
CAGAGACGACACGAUAAUAGACAUUUUAGAGCAGGAGGUAGAGAUUGUGGGUGUGGUAUAGGCAUAGGAUGUGGAUGUGGCUGUUGCGGAAGUGGACCUUUUGCUAGAUUCUCUCUACUCCUAUUCAACACUAUUUUUCUGAUUUUCAGGUUUAACAUUUGUCGGACUCGGAAUAUGGGUGAAAGUGGAGAAAAAUUUUGUUAGCUUGCAAGACCUGGUGGAUCACUGGCGCAGGUGACAGCACAUUGAGCAACGCUGGCUCAGUGCUUAUAGGAUUUGGGUUUUUUGUGGCAGUUGUCAGUGCGUUAGGGUGUCUCGCUGUGUGCUGUUCCAAAAAGAAAGCCAUAAUCUCAGUGUACACACUCCUUCUCAUUGUGAUAUUUUGCUGUGGAAUAGCAGCCUCAAUUGUAUAUGGUGUCUUCAGAGGCAAGAUAGAUGAUACCCUAUCAAAUGCACUCACAAAACAGUAAAAUCAUAUAAAUUAGAAAGCGAAUACACCAAAGACUGGGAUUACGUGCAAACUUGGAUGAAAUGUUGUGGAUCUACCGGACCUAAAGACUAUGAGGAUGUCAAAUUCCAGGAGCCGAGUAAGUACGUUCCAGAGACGUGUUGUGUUUUGACCAACAACGAUCCCGAACAUCCGAAACCACGAAACGGUACACAGUGUCAGAUGGACGCACAACAAUAUCUCGAAGGAAAUAUCACAACUUCACAAGUUCUUCAAACAAUUGGAUGCUACCAAAGUCUUGGAGAUAUCAUCGAUGCCCACCUUGCGGUGAUAAUAGGUGUAGGUGUUGCAAUAGCCACACUUCAAUUGCUUGGAAUUUGCUUGGCCAUAGGUAUAUGUUUGGAGACGUCGGAUCGGUAAGACCCCAGUGAUAGACAAAGUUAUAGCCUAAGGACACAUUUCUACCAGCAUCUCACAACGAAUGUCAAAACGAUAAAAAAAAACUUCAAGCCAGGCUAUGAAACGGUGUACAAAAAUACGACAUAGAAGAUUUAAAUUAAAUCUCCAUCAUUCAUUUGUUUGAUAGAAAAAAAAUGUAAAAACGUGAAGUUUGUCUUUUAAAAGUGACGUUUCCAUGGCAACGUGAGCACAGUGAUAUACUGCCAAUAUACUGCUGGACCCGAAGAUACUUUAGAUGUUUUUGAACUGCAUAUAAAAAUUUAUUCUUUCUUUCCUUUUUUACGAGCAAUUAUGCUAAAUUACACGAUAAUCAAUAUGUCUAGGUAUACACAAGAUUAUAAACGUAUGAAUUUUGUCACUCCCAUUACUAUACAUUUUGUGAUGUUAUACCGGUAUGUACAUGUAUUUUGAACACUAUAACUUCUCAUAUUGACAUUGUCGUCUGUAGUAUGCUUAUUGAUGUUUUGUUUAUAGCUAACAAUUUAUUAUUAAAAAUAAAGAUUUUAUCGUAUACCUUUAGACAACUGACCUUUAUUUAAUAUCAAAACUAAAUCAUUGCUUUUUCCUAACAAAAAGACAGAGGUAAUAAGUUAAUAAAUAAUAAAUUUUGUCAAAUA